GCACCCACUUCAGCAAUACAUAUUUUAAAGUUGGCACCCUACAGAGAAGAUUAGCAUGGCCCCCAUGCAAGGAUGACAUAAAAAUUCAUGAAGGGUUCCAUAGUUUC